rnacentral:snRNA from 1 species
GGAUGUGAGGGCAAUCUGGCUGCAACAUCUAUCACCCCAUUGAUCACCAGGGUUGAUUCGGCUGAUCUGGCUGGCUGGGAGGGUGUCCCCUUCCUCCCUCACAGCUCUAUGUGUGUCCCUCCUGAAGCUGCACACCUGGUCGAAGAGGAUGACCUUCCCCGGUAGAGACGUGCAUCUAUGACUGCA